rnacentral:lncRNA from 1 species
GAAAAAGUAUCUUUUCAUGAUCUAAAGGAUAAUCAUUUGGAAAAUCAUGCAGUUGUAUUUGGAUUUUCUCAAUCAAAUUUAAUUAAAAUGGUUGUUUGAUGUUUUUAGAAUGAACGAUGAUAUUGUUUAUAUGACCAGUUUGAAGUUUCCAGAGGGUAAAGGUCUUUAUUGUAUUUAUUUUUGGGGUUUGCUGAAACGAUCAGCUAUAUAACUUAUUCCUCCACUCAAUCGAUUUUUCAGUAAAAAGAUGCAUAUCAGUAUCAGAUGUCAACUUAUUCUAGUCAUUCAUCACAUUGGGUCCUAUGCCAAUCCAGGACUACAAAGCAAUGGUAUGUGCUGAAUUGUCUGAAAAUAUGAGUUUGUGAUAUUUUUGCUAUAUUUAUGAAGUUGUCUUUUUUCAAAGUUUAAACAUUAGGAUUACACCAAACCGGAAGUGACUAGUUAGUAUUACAUGUGAAGUAGUCCAAAAUGUAGUUCCAUGCUAUGGAUGAAAUCUGGUAUAAUGAGUGACUUGAGGAGGUGACAGUUAAAUUUUUGGCCAAUGCAUGACUGAGUGGCUAAAAGGCCUUCCUUUACCACUCAAAUGUAGAUGUUGACUUUCAAAUCACUUUGCCAUCACCUACGUAGUGUUGACACCCUUCAACUGACGUACACUUCUUUCAGGCAGGUUAGCAAUACAACCGGUUUACCGAAGAUUAUGCAUCUGCCCAUGCCUACAAUGGCGUGUGCCUGGGCAUUUCUUUACCAUUCAAAGUUUUGUUCAGCUUCGCAUCGAUGAUUUUGAUACUGAUAACCUUUCCAAGAACGAAAACCCAUUUUCACUUUCGUGACGAUUAUAAGUAAACCAAAAAUAAACCGACAUUCUUGCAAAGUGAAGAAAAAGAUGGAUAUGCUAAAUGCCUUUUUUCAAGAGGCAAACAUUUCUAAAGUACAUUCAAUGGUGAUGCACAAAACCUUUAUGAUUACUUGGUUUGAAGUACUCCUUCAUGAAAAAACGACGACCGUUAGCACUGAGCAGGAGCUUCGAUUCGUGUGAAUUUAACAAUUGUGUGAUAACUGACGAAAAAACAUUGUUUGGAAAAAAGUGACCAUUUGCCAGAAAAAUAUCCUUUUAAAAGAUCUGACUGGGGGGGGGGGGGGGGGGGGGGGGCAAGUUUGGAUUUUUGCCGAGGAUGAAAACCCAUUUUAUUAUAAAGAAUUUGGUGGACAUUACAAAAAUGAUUUUUGGAAAGGUGCAUUUAAUUGGACAAUAACGUAUAACAGGAAUAAUACAGAUAUUUACCUACCUAAUGGAGAAAUAUGGAAAAGAAGAACCGAGGACAAGCGUGAUUUCCUAAAAAUUGCAAAAAGCAAAACUAAGGAUGCUAUUAUAAUAACAUCUCGCUGCAAAUCAGACUCUAAAAGGGAACGGGUUAUCGAUAACUUGAAGAAAUUUAUAAAUAUUGAUACUCUGGGCAGAUGUGGACGAGAAUGGAAGUGCGGAGCAAUGUAUGUGCACGAUGAUUGUUUCAACAUUCUAAAUUAUUCAUAUAAAUUUUAUCUAGCGUUUGAAAAUGCACUCUGUAGGGGAUAUUCCACUGAGAAGUUUUUUGAAAAUUUCAAUAACGAUAUAUUAUUAGUGUCUAGGGCUGGGAAAACAAAUUCUAGAGAAGCACUAUCGAUUCCUAAAAAUAUAUAUAUUGAUUCUACUGAUUUUCAGUCAAUUGAUUAUUUAGGAAGAUACCUUCAACGCCUGGCUUUAAAUGAUACAGAAUAUGCAAGGAUUCUAAGACGUAAAAGUCAAUAUUACUUCCCCGGGUUUCAGGAAGUAUAUCAAAGGGCGUUAUGUAAAAUUUGUGAAAGAAUGAAUCUACUUGAACACUAUCGACAACAAAUACCUGACCUUAACCAAUGGCGUAUGUCAGAUAAACCAUGCACAAAUUCAGAAGACAUAGAAAUAAUAUAAAAAUCGCCACCAAUAGAACGUACAAUGAAAUGCAAGCUUGCGUUAAACCUGAAUAAUGAAUAUUGCAGGACAUAAGAGGAUUGUUCAAUAAAUAACUACACUCUAUGUAAUUUUCCCAUUAUGAGUAAUUUAGUAUAAUAAUAACAGCAAUUUGCCCACUUGCAGGUGUUAUUAUUGCAGCAAAACGAGUGGUUCUUUAACAAGUACUAAAACGCGCUAUCGACAAAGUCAACGUGUUGACGCCUUAAAGGCAAAAACAAUCUUCCAUAUAAGUGACUCCCCCAAAAAUGCCAGACAUCGUUAUCCCAAAUAAAAAUGAUUCUGUCUGGUCCGCUCUGAUAAUGGUCUAUAAACCUCUGUAGACUUGACAUGUAGUCAGAGGAUCAUGAAUUGUAUUGAUAUGUACUGAUAACUGGUUAUUACAUGUGUUCUGCAUUUUAUUGAUAAAAGUGCAGCUUUUUUCCAGAAUAUACACGAAAUUAUUUUAGUUGAUAAUAUACUAAUUGCAAUUGCUCAAUCACGUUGAGUAAUGUCCUGACCAAUUAAAUUAUAACUUGUACAGCAAAGCAAUUAUCACCAUUUUGGUAAACUCUCACCUUUAUUUAAUAAAAAUAAAAUAAUUACAGAAACAAUAAAUGAACAACAUGUUUGGCUGGAGACCUUUGUAGUGAGACACUAUGAAAUGUAUUAUGUAAACUGAGUUCUAAGAAAACUUUAUUAAUUGCAGAAAAUUCUGACUAUAGUAUAAGAACUGUGAUUUGGGAAAAAAAAUAUUAUAGUUCCCCAUGUGUGGCCUAAAUACAUUUUCUUUUAUUUAUUAUAAAAUCUAGCAAUAAAAAGAUAUCAUUGUUCAAAAUGCACAUGAUUUAUUAUUUAUAAAAGGUGCCUGGAUGCGUUUUCUUUCAUUUCUAAUAAAAAUCCAGCAAUAAUGGGAUACUAUUGUGUAAAACUUGAUUUAUGAAAAAAUAAAAAUACUACUGUA